GGUGCUGGUCACCCACCCCAUCGUGUGCCGUGUCGGCCUUCACAGGUGUUAGCUAACAGUCUAUACGGGGGAUCUUUGUGUUUAUUGAGAAAAGGAACCCUGCGAUCAUCGCCGGCCGAUUGACUGCUCUGUGCUCGUAAUUGGGGGGGCAGACCCGCGUGCGUGCGUACCCAUUGAUCAGUCUGCAGAGAUGCUGGGUUCUCUCACCGUCAUGCCUUGAACAGAGAGAGAGGGCGUUAUGGGUAAUCGAUAACACGGGAGAGGCAGACGCGUGUCGCCCUCGUAAGAGUGAGCCAAGACCAGAUACAUUGGAACUAAUCAACUCAUCAAUAUACAGACUGUUCAAGGGUCGUCAGUGUUAGAAUAUGGGGUGGGGGGGGGGGGUUUACCGGAGCUCGUCAGUGAGGCAUGCCUCGAUACAGUUUGUCCAGAACGGUGCAGGAGUUGAUGCGGGUCCUUGUGCUCAUUUGAGCUCAUCAGUCAGCCAUGGCCAGAGACAGACCGCCAAUUGAAUUUUAGAGCAAUAAUUAGAUUUCUCAUAUUCAUUCGGGAUCGUCAGUGAGUCAUGCCCAGCGACAGGAUCUCGGGCUCCUAACGAGGGCCUGGAGAUCGUGACGUCACUGCCACUCCACGUGCGGUCACUCGCGAUGACGCGGUCCGGCUGAUGCUGUUGCUGCUGCUGUUGAUGUUGUUGGUUUUGCUGCUGCUGAUCGUGUUGAUGACGUUGUUUAUUAAUCCUUUCAGCAUGUCAUCUGCACGCUGUGCAGGACCACCUCUUGAUAGCAAAUAAAGCGAAGGAGGAGGAGACGUCACCGAUGGCACGGACCCUUGUCACGGCGUUCUCCAGGCAGACGGCACUGAACCCCAGAUCCUUCCCGGGUCCCCCCUUGGCCCCCCUUCCCCACUCCCCAUUGUGGGGGGGGGGGGGCGUUCUCGGCUCCCGACGCCGAACCCACCAAUUAACGAGCGCACUGCCAAUUAAUAGGAGCACGUGGUGCCGGUAAUUGGGUCCUCCAGGCAAGAAAACAGUUCCGUGGCGGAAGCGAUUAAUUGUAGGUGACAAAGCGUCCCUCGGCUCCGUAUCUACAUGUCGUCGCGUGCGGGUCACGUGACCGUGAAGUGGACCUAGCCUGGCACAAGAAGGGAUGAUGUCACCAUCUCUAGAUCGAUAUUAAUUUUUAAAUGUCAACCUGCUCCCACAUCCUGGAACUCCCUUCCCCCAGACCCCCGUGCUAUUAGUCCCUGUUAAAGUUCAGGCUGAAGACGUCACUCUCCUCCUGCCUUUGACUGACUGCCUCUCUCUCUCUGCGGAAUAAACAGUCCACUGUUUAUGUGCAGAA